AAGAGCUUGUGAUCAAAUGGCCAGCUCAAACUGACGUGAGGUUAUAAACAAAAGGGCAAGCACUGCAGGAAGGGUUUGAAGGACUUUAAACCCUACCAGAUUCCAUAUGUAGAAGAUGGUGAUUUCUGUUACAGGAAUCAGUUGAAGGCAUCUGAAAAUGACUCGGAUAUUACUUUAAAACAACAAUGAGGAAAACCUGAGGAAAAGAAGUGUGUAAGAGACUUAAAGCCAAAGGGGGAGUCAUUUCUUUGCUCCAGCCACAUCCCUGACAAAGGCACAGGGUUCUUGGUGUACAUGCAUUGUGUCCAGACUGCAAUAUAUGUUAGAUCAACACCACCGAGAACUAGGUUCCCGGCUGCCUCAUCUUUCCCACUGCUAUAUCAAAAGACUAGCAACUAUAGAACAAAGCUUAUACUCAUUCACUUUUAGGUAAGUGUUUUUGGCAAGAAACAAAUUAGUAUUGGAAU